AUUGAACGCUGGCGGCAGGCUUAACACAUGCAAGUCGAGCGAGCGGCGGACGGGUGAGUAAUGUCUGGGAAACUGCCAGAUAGAGGGGGAUAACUACUGGAAACGGUAGCUAAUACCGCAUACCAUAAGAUGUGACCAGAUGGGAUUAGAUAGUAGGUGGGGUAAUGGCUCACCUAGGCGAAGAUCCCUAGCUGGUCUGAGAGGAUGACCAGCAACACUGGAACUGAGACACGGUCCAUACUCCUACGUGAGGCAGCAGUGGGGAAUAUUGCAAAAUGGGCGCAAGCCUGAUGCAGCCAUGCCGCGUGUGUGAAGAAGGCCUUCGGGUUGUAAAGUACUUUCAGCGAGGAGGCGUUACUCGCAGAAGAAGCACCGGCUAACUCCGUGCCAGCAGCCGCGGUAAUAC
rnacentral:rRNA from 1 species